rnacentral:rRNA from 1 species
CCAAUAGCGUAUAUUAAAGUUGUUGCAGUUAAAAAGCUCGUAGUUGAAUUUCGGGGUUAGUAGGUUGGUCAUGCCUCUGGUAUGUACUGGUCUCACUGAUUCCUCCUUCCUGAUGAGCCGUAAUGCCAUUAAUUUGGUGUUGCGGGGAAUUUGGACUGUUACUUUGAAAAGAUUAGAGUGUUUAAAGCAAGCUAACGCUUGAAUACAUUAGCAUGGAAUAAUGAAAUAGGACGUUCGAUCCUAUUUUGUUGGUUUCUAGGAUUGACGUAAUGAUUAAUAGGGAUAGUUGGGGGCAUUAGUAUUAAAUUGUCAGAGGUGAAAUUCUUGGAUUUAUUGAAGACUAACUACUGCGAAAGCAUUUGCCAAGGAUGUUUUCAUUAAUCAAGAACGAAAGUUAGGGGAUCGAAGACGAUCAGAUACCGUCGUAGUCUUAACCAUAAACUAUGCCGACUAGGGAUCGGAUGAUGUUAAUUUUUUAAUGACUCAUUCGGCGCCUUACG